GAUGAAUGCUAGCGGGAGGCCUAACACAUGCAAGCCGAGCGGUAGAGUUUCUUCGGAAACUUGAGAGCGGCGCACGGGUGCGUAACACGUGUGCAACCUACCUUUAUCUGGGGGAUAGCCUUUCGAAAGGAAGAUUAAUACCCCAUAAUAUAAUGAUUGGCAUCAAUUAUUAUUGAAAACUCCGGUGGAUAGAGAUGGGCACGCGCAAGAUUAGAUAGUUGGUGAGGUAACGGCUCACCAAGUCAAUGAUCUUUAGGGGUCCUGAGAGGGAGAUCCCCCACACUGGUACUGAGACACGGACCAGACUCCUACGGGAGGCAGCAGUGAGGAAUAUUGGACAAUGGGUGAGAGCCUGAUCCAGCCAUCCCGCGUGAAGGAUGACGGUCCUAUGGAUUGUAAACUUCUUUUGUACAGGGAUAAACCUACCCUCGUGAGGGUAGCUGAAGGUACUGUACGAAUAAGCACCGGCUAACUCCGUG
rnacentral:rRNA from 1 species